AGCAGUAGCCACGGUAAUACGAAGGGUGCAAGCGUUAAUCGGAAUUACUGGGCGUAAAGCGUGCGUAGGCGGUGAGUUAAGUCUGCUGUGAAAUCCCCGGGCUCAACCUGGGAAUGGCAGUGGAUACUGGCUCGCUAGAGUGUGUCAGAGGAUGGUGGAAUUCCCGGUGUAGCGGUGAAAUGCGUAGAGAUCGGAAGGAACAUCUGUGGCGAAGGCGACUAUCUGGGCCAACACUGACACUGAGGCACGAAAGCGUGGGGAGCAAACAGGAUUAGAUACCCCUGUAGUCCCUGUCUCUUAUAU
rnacentral:rRNA from 1 species